rnacentral:rRNA from 1 species
UACGGAGGAUGCAAGCGUUAUCCGGAAUGAUUGGGCGUAAAGCGUCCGUAGGUGGCGAUUCAAGUCUGCUGUUGAAGCGCAGGGCUUAACCCUGUAAAGGCGGUGGAAACUGGAGAGCUAGAGUGUGGUAGGGGUAGAGGGAAUUCCCGGUGUAGCGGUGAAAUGCGUAGAGAUCGGGAAGAACACCAGUGGCGAAAGCGCUCUACUGGGCCAUAACUGACACUCAGGGACGAAAGCUAGGGGAGCGAAUGGG